CCUGGCGGCCAUAGCGCCGUGGAACCACCUGAUCCCAUGCCGAACUCAGAAGUGAAACGCGGUAGCGCCGAUGGUAGUGUGGCAUU
rnacentral:rRNA from 1 species